GACGAACGCUGGCGGCGUGCUUAACACAUGCAAGUCGAACGAUGAAGGGGAGCUUGCUCCCUGGAUUAGUGGCGAACGGGUGAGUAACACGUGAGCAACCUGCCCCUAACUCUGGGAUAACGCUUCGAAAGGAGUGCUAAUACCGGAUAUGAGCCUGGAAGACAUCUUCUGGGUUGGAAAGUUUUUCGGUUAGGGAUGGGCUCGCGGCCUAUCAGCUAGUUGGUGAGGUAAAGGCUCACCAAGGCGACGACGGGUAUCCGGCCUGAGAGGGCGACCGGACACACUGGGACUGAGACACGGCCCAGACUCCUACGGGAGGCAGCAGUGGGGAAUAUUGCGCAAUGGGCGAAAGCCUGACGCAGCGACGCCGCGUGAGGGAUGAAGGUCUUCGGAUUGUAAACCUCUUUCAGCAGGGACGAAGCGAAAGUGACGGUACCUGAAGAAGAAGCACCGGCUAACUACGUGCCAGCAGCCGCGGUAAUGUGACUACUG
rnacentral:rRNA from 1 species